UUGCCAAGGGAGCCAGUAGGUCAGCCAGGUUCUACAUCCCUGCACUUCCUACAACAUCUGCUUUUCCCUCCUCCUCAGUCUGGAAGUACUAGGCGUUAUGCCAGCCAAUCCCCCAAGAAGAUGGGUAUUAGCUUAAGAUAAAUGUUUGGCUAAAAAAAAGAGAAGACAAACCAUAGAUACAGUAAAGAAGAUGAAAUUCCAAGGGAGUAGAGCCUGAGUGAGAAGUUGAAGGCAAUAUUUCCAGACUGAGCCAAGAGAGGUUCUACAAUCAGGUUGUUUGGGGGUGACAUCCUGCAUGUAUACACCUCCCUUCAAGACUCCCAAUGUCUGAAUUCCAUUUGGAGACCAUUCCACCCCAGAGUCCUCAUGGUCAAGGUGGCUGACCCUGCCUCUGAUUCCAUGUGCAGGGAGCAUCCAGGCCUGGCCAACCUGAGUAGCACCUGCCCAAGGACAGUGGCAGGUGGCCAGGGCUCUGGGGUUGUGCCCACUGAACAUGGGCUGAGGGACCCACGGAGAAGAAAGGCACCACGGAGGACGCUGAGACUGGAAAAUAAUCAGAGGAGUAUGCAAAAACUAUACACAGAGAUGCUCAUCACAACCAUGUCUCUGACAGCCAAACACUUCAAGACAACCUACGUGUCUGUCAGCUGGG